UUGUCCGCUAUAGCCUUUCAUUUCCCAACUUUCUACUUCACUUUUAAUUUUGAAGGCUGUGUACUUCUCUCUUUCUCCCUCUCUUCUCGUCUGUCUCUCUUUCCCUCCUCUAACCCUAACAAAACCAAAAUUUUUUCCUUCAUCAUUGUUCAUCUCUCUCAUCAAAUCCGAUAACCUCCACACUCCCUUCAUCAAGUUCGGCGUACUUUCAGUCUCGUCGGAGGUAAAUACAUAUCUUCAAUGGCGGUAGUGACGCGAUUCCGGCGGGGUAUAUGCGAUUCUGGCGAUGGAACUCGCAAAUUUGCGGUCUGUUAACUGUUCCAGGGUGUAGCACUUGGAUGACAAUCCUUGUACCGGCUAGCAUGACUUCUUAUCUUUAUCUCUAUUCUCAUGGGGAAGUAUCAUUGGCUGCAUCUCAACCAUUCUCCAAAAGUCAUGUCAAGACCACCAAUUUAAAUCAGUGACUUGAAUCGGUUGUACCAUCUUGAAGCUAUUAUACAAGAUGCAAAGGUUCAACAACAACUUUACUGUGUAGUUGUCUAAAAGAUUUCCUGCUAUGCUUUUCUUCAUUCAUGUUAAUCACAUGGCAUUUGAUUCCCAUAGUUCCAUCUCAAUUUCUUUUUAUUUAGUUUGGUUUCAUUGAAUCAUUGGACUUAAUAAUAUUUUUAAAUUAUAUCUCUUAAAAUUUAAAAACGUAUUUAAUCUUUUUCCUUUGACUUUUUUCCAUUUUGCACAGAGAAAAGGCAACGCAGCUCCUGUUGGGAGAAGGAGGAAGCCUACUGAUAUUUUAAACGGGACAACAUUUGCACGAUCUGUAAAUAUUCUUCUUUCUCCACAUCAGUUAUCCAAUGAAAUAGUCAAAGUCUGAUGCAAAUUUAUUAAACUGCUUCCAAUCCCUCAGGGUUACGGUUGGUUUACUUUGAUGAGACUUCAACACAUCCAAUAUUUUCAUUUCCAGCCACUUUCCCAUGUCUAUUUGAUAACAUACAUUAUUACUUAUAUACAACUAUUGCUCUUUGUUGUAACUUGUAAUGUGAAAUCAGAUAGUCAGUAGUAUAUUAAAUGUUUAUUGCUUUGUUAAGUAUUGUACAGUUAUAUACUUCCAUGCUUGCAAGUAAUAAUGUGAUGCAGCCAAAACUAAUUUUAAAAACCAUCCUAAUUUCUUUUAAAAUGCAGCCGAAAAUUCAUGUUAUGUUCUAUUUUUUUGGGUCUGUUUCACUACUUCUACUUUAACUAUUUUUCUAUAUAUGUUAAAUACUUUAUCUAAAUUACAUAUUUUAGACCAUUUCCAUUUACUAUAAGAAUAAGAUACAUUAUUAUCAUAUAAGAAAUAUUAUUCUUACACUCACUUUUACAUCUACACCAUAUUAUAUACGGUACAAUUCAUUUUUUGCUUUUUAUUUUAUU